rnacentral:rRNA from 1 species
GACAGAGGGUGCAAGCGUUGUUCGGAUUCAUUGGGCGUAAAGGGCGCGUAGGCGGCUUGGUAAGUCGAAUGUGAAAUCCCAUGGCUUAACCAUGGAAGUGCAUUCGAAACUGCUUCGCUAGAGUCUUAGAGAGGGUGGUGGAAUUCCCAGUGUAGAGGUGAAAUUCGUAGAUAUUGGGAGGAACACCGGUGGCGAAGGCGACCACCUGGAUGAAGACUGACGCUGAGGCGCGAAAGCGUGGGUAGCAAACAGG